ensembl:lncRNA
CAUGAUUCCAUAUGCGUUAUUUAAUAGUAAAAUUAAGAAAAACCCUUGAAUGAGUAGGUGCCCCCAAACCUUUGACUGGUACUGUAUAUAUUUACAAAAAAAUAUGGGGUAUUGGAAAUGAUGCAAUUACAUUGAUAGAACAAUCUACCUGCCCCCCACAAAAAAAUAAUAAUAGUGGUGUGGGGGCUGUGCUUUGGCAAAGUGGGUGGGGUUUAUAUCCUGCCUAUAUUCCUGUUUGGCCCUGUCUGGGUCUGUGGUAUCACCGGAUGGGGCCACAGUGUCUCCUGACCCCUCCUGUCUCAGCCUCCAGUACUUACGCUGUAGUAGUUUGUGUCGGGGGGCUAGGGUCAGUCAUAUCUGGAGAACUUCUCCUGUCUUAUCCGGUGUGAAUUUACGUAUGCUCUCUCUAAUUCUCUCUUUCGGAGGACCUGUGCCCUAGGACCAUGCCUCAGGACUACCUGGCAUGAUGACUCCUUGCUGUCCCCAGUCCACCUGGCCGUGCUGCUGGUCCAGUUUCAACUGUUCUGCCUGUGGCUAUGGAGCCCUGACCUGUUCACCGGACAUGCUACCUGUCCCAGACCUGCUGUUUUCAACUCUCUAGAGACAGCAGGAGCGGUAGAGAUACUCUCAAUGAUCAGCUAUGAAAAGCCAAUUGACAUUUACUCCUGAGGUGCUGACCUGUUGCACCCUCGACAACUACUGUGAUUAUUAUUAUUUGACCAUGUUGGCCAUUCAUGAACAUCUUGGCCAUGUUCUGUUAUAAUCUCCACCCGGCACAGCCAGAAGAGGACCGGCCACCCCUCAUAGCCUGGUUCCUCUCUAGGUUUCUUCCUUGGUUUUGGCCUUUCUAGGGAGCUUUUCCUAGCCACCGUGCUUCUACACCUGCAUUGCUUUCUGUUUGGAGUUUUAGGCUGGUUUUCUGUACAGCACUUUGAGAUAUCAGGUGAUAUCAGUAAGAAGGGCUUUAUAAAUACAUUAGAUUUGAAUAAAAAGGCAUAUUUGAUGGGCGCAGGAUUAUGCUCCAGCCAAGCAGUAGUAAUACCUGGAUGAAACUAAACUACACCCAGGUAUAUAAGUCCCUCCCAUCCAAUCAUGUGACAAACACAUCUAAAACAGACACAUGGGAGACAGGAUCCAUGUUUAAUCAAGUCAUCAUUUGAAACGAGCAUCUGUCUGAGCAUGUCCCCGUUCAACAUAACACAAAUGGAUGUCAAGAGGUGGGCAUUACAGCAUCAACAGUCAUUAUUCAUGCCAGAUAGAUACACCCAACUGGCCGAACCGGCCAACAUAAGGCCAGUCUUCCCUUCCACAGUUUUCAUUAUACCGUUUGAAUAGAAUAGGACAAAUAAACACAUUUGUCAAACAACAUUUCAACCAAUCCAUUUCAAAGGGCAAAUGUUGCAUUUCCAUAAUGCUUCAAAUGUCAAAAACUACAAUCCAUUCAUUAUUUAGCAAAGGCAAUUGUCUGUCUGAGAAAGCCUGACAAUACUUUAAUAUCAUUGUUUUAGAGAGAAAGACCCUGUUUUUAGAGUCACAGUAAAGCAGUUAGAAAACAAACUGAAACUAGAAUUCUAGUUUUAGAACAAUGUAGAUGUGUAGAGGUGUUCUGAAUCUAUCAUUCUAGAACAGAUUUAAAACAGAGCUGUUCUAGAGGUGUUCUGAAACUAUCAUUCUAGAACAGAUUUAAAACAGAGCUGUAGAAGAGACAGUUUGAUCAUUCCUAAAGGCACUUCCCUGUACCUUCAAUAUGUCCUGAUUCAGUGCAAACAAGCUUGUCAACAACAAUAUGUACAUAUCAGGAUCAAUAACAACAAUCACUGAUUAUUAUCACGAAACUCCCCAAAGACACACAUCCAUCUCACCCCAUUCUAGUCUUGUUCUGAGGGAAAGAAAAGUUCCUCUCCUUUUCAUUACACAUCUUCACCUUUCCUCUGAGAAAUGAAAACAGCAAAUAAAAGUUGGCUCUUGACUGUAAUAACGACCAGUGGCAGAACGACUAGACUUCAUAUUUUACUACCUAACCAGUAAAAUACACAGGAGGCCUUUCAAACUAAUGCUGGCAUCUGGCUCACGGGUGAAUAUUUUCACAGUAUUUUACUAAAUGUUCCUUCCUGAGAAUAAAUCACUUUCCUACCGACUAAACUGGUAUUUCCAGUCCAAACUGGAACGGUCCUUCAAAAGCAUUACAGAGCAUAAAAACAGGCCUGUCUGGAUUUGAUUAGAGCUUUGAUUAAAACAUUUCAAGCCUGAUGAGCCCUACAUUAAAGACAUUUACUGAGCCCUACAUUAAAGACAUUUAAUGAGCCCUACAUUAAAGACAUUUACUGAGCCCUACAUUAAAAGAUAUUUAAUGAGCCCUACAUUAAAGACAUUUAAUGAGCCCUACAUUAAAAGAUAUUUAAUGAGCCCAAGCCCCAAAAAAGUCAAAAAUAUUGUGCUGUUAUCCAAUACAUAUAUGAUAUAGGCUACUGCGCGACAGAAAAACAGAAAAGCCCAUAGAUGUAGCUAGCUAUGUCCUCUGUUGGGUAAAUAAAUGAAACUCGCUCCAGGAGGCUUGUUGAGUGUGAACUGUAUGACUGUACUGUAUUAUACUGUACUACUGUACUGUAUUACUGUACUACUGUACUACUGUACUGUAUUAUACUGUAUUAUACUGUACUACUGUAUUAUACUGUACUACUGUACUGUACUGUAUUGUACUGUAUUAUACUGUGUAUUAUACUGUAUUACUGUACUACUG